CCUANGGGUGGCAGCAGUGGGGAAUCUUGCACAAUGGGGGAAACCCUGAUGCAGCGACGCCGCGUGAACGAUGAAGCCCUUCGGGGUGUAAAGUUCUUUCGACGGGGACGAUAAUGACGGUACCCGGAGAAGAAGCUGCGGCUAACUACGUGCCAGCAGCCGCGGUAAUACGUAGGCAGCAAGCGUUGUUCGGAAUUACUGGGCGUAAAGAGUGCGUAGGCGGUUAACUAAGUUUGGUGUGAAAUCUCCCGGCUUAACUGGGAGGGUGCGCCGAAAACUGGCUAGCUAGAGUGUGGGAGAGGAUAGUGGAAUUCCUGGUGUAGCGGUGAAAUGCGUAGAUAUCAGGAGGAACACCUGCGGUGUAGACGGCUAUCUGGACCAUGACUGACGCUGAGGCACGAAAGCGUGGGUAGCAAACAGGAUUAGAUACCCCUNUANUC
rnacentral:rRNA from 1 species